UAUAUAUAUAUAUAUAUAAAGUGUUUUUCGAAAGCACUUGAGCAGCUAACGGUCACUGUGAUUUUGCCAAGUAGCUAAGACAUGUUCCUGAAUCAACAUCUUUGAUGAUGCUGGAUCAACAUUAUUGCCCAAAAAUAUAUAUUUAAACCCAAUCCCUACCCCUAAACCUAACCCUGCCCAUAAUCUGUUAAAAUCUGUGGGAAAUUAUAGCUGAUUAACAAGAGUAUAGAAGCACUAACCCUGACGGUAAUCAUAAAACUGAUAUUUCCUUAAAAGUUAUAUCCCAUUCUGAUUGGUUGAUUGGAAUGUUGUUCCAGGAACAUGUUGUAGCUACUUGGCACAGCAACUUUGCUUAUUAGUCUACCCUGACUCAUUUAUAGCCUCAUCUCACCUUUGUGUUUACUAACGUUUGAAAACUCUCUUGAAACAAAUAGUAAAAGAACAGAUGUUCUUAAGACCCCCGUCAACCUUUUGUUUUUACUUCCGACCUUUGGAGCGAAGAGUGGGCAAAACCGACCACGCGCACACACAAACACACUAUUCUCACUGUCAUUUACAUAGUUUUGUUGACGGCAGUUCAGCAGCGAAAAAGGACUGGCUGGAUUCUCCGAGACACUUCAGAGGGAAACCAUUUAAACUGAGAGGCGCGCGACCGUCAGCUUGUCUCGCGCAGAACACUUUCAGCACUGCACGCUUUCUUCCAGUGUGCGUCACAUCGUUGCGUCUCUGUCAGCCGCGGAUGAAUUAAAGGUCGACCCGAGUCUCCAAAGAAGAUUCAAGAACAAGGAUCAUAUUUUAACCAUAAUGCCAAAAAUGGUUUCAUCUGGGGAUUCAAAAGACGUGUCAAAGUCAUCACAGAGCAAUGGACAUCACACAUCACACAUAUUUCAUUGUUUUACGACCCUCGUAUGUUUCAUGUUGUCUGCGUCUUCGGUGGCAGUUUGUCUGUUUAUGAACGUCAAAACAUCUCAUCUUGAGCGUAAAAUGGAGAUUCUGGAGAUGGAGCGACUGUCUGUGAUGGAACCUGUGCACGCGACCCUGGAUGCGAACGCGACCCUUCGGGAUGCGAUAGAGAAACUUGUGCAAGAGAGACUCAAAGAGGGGGUGUCGAAAAUUCGCACAGCUCGAGAAGCAGCGCAAGAGUGCUCGUGUCCUCCAGGAGCAUCUCUGUCAUUCAACCUCAGGUCUCUGGUCAGGAGGCGCAGAGGUCAUGACCCUGCCAGCAGUGGAUGCUGAGAGAAGGUCUUUGUGUCGACAGAGGUGAGAGGAUUUCAGAGCCACUGACUGACAGAUUAUCAGUGCCUUACAGCUCUGACACAUACAAAAUCAAACAGGAAGAGCUUGAUGUAUAAUCACAGAUAUAAGUUGUAUCUAAUUAGAAGAAGACCUAAGAUUGUUGUUCAGCACAUUUUGAGAUAUUAACAAUAUAAAAGGGCCUAUAUACGGAUGAUUUGUGUCUUUAUUAUACAAAUUCUUGAAUAAUUAAUACUUUGUGUUGUUCAAAAGCAAAUAUAUUGUAUGCAGAUGUCCUUAGAGCCAUCUAAAGAGGGUUGGAAAUCAGAUAAAUUAUUGUUAAUUCUCAGAGGAAUCUGUUCAUUGCAGCUACUCUGAGUCCUGCUUUUGACACAAUCUGCUCUCAAUUACUCUACCCAGAGUUUAAUAGACGCUUCAAAAACUCUGCCUAACAUCUACCACAACAUCUUUGGUUCAGAAAGAAGGGGCAAUUUAUUGAAUGAUGUAAAGAUCAUUCAAUGAGUUUUAUGUCAGAUAUUAUCAAAACAAAUAUUUUUGCAUUAAUUUAAUCAGAUUUUAUUAUUUUUUUCAGGCUGCUAUGUAUACUUUUGUUUUAUCAAAGCAAUGAAAUAUAGUUUUAAAGAAUGUUCUUUAAUGAGAACUGAAUGUAAUGUUUUCAUAUACUUAAUUAAUUAAAUAUGUAUCAUAGUUUACAUUUAUAUUACAUUCAGUUACCAGAAUUUUAGAGUGCCUUUUUAAAGCAGUUAAGUAGGACUUAAUCUAAUUUCACAAUUACACAUAUUGUCUGUAAAAAUAAAAUGCACUUUGAUUUAUGUCAUGUAUAUGUAAUUUCACAUUUGUUAUGAAGAAGUUGCUAUUUAGUACAUUUAAAAUAAAGUAAAAUUAACAUUCUUUUAUAAAAAUGAAAUAUAAUAUUGAAUAACACUAAAGUUAAAAUUUUAAUCAAGAAAUUUAGUUUUGCUUAUGUAUUUUAAGCAAUGCAUCAAAAUAAGUGUAUUCAUUUAAAGCAUUAUUAAAUAUUAUGUAAGCAAUCGUUUAAAAUGUACUUUAAAGUAAAAAUUGACAUUACAAAGUGCACUUUUACUUAAGUGUGUUGAGAAACAGUCAUGAAAGUGUUCUCUCUGUAGGUACACUUAAGCUGCUUUUUAUUACAUUAAUAUUAUACUUUGUACAAUUACAUCUAAAAAAAAAAGUUAAGUGAAAGUGACAUUCAGCCAAGUAUGGUGACCCAUACUCAGAAUUUGUGCUCUGCAUUUAACCCAUCCAAAGUGGACACACACAAACCGUGUACACACACCCAGAGCAGUGGGCAGCGCCCAAAAAGCAGUUGGGGGUUCAUGCCUUGCUUAAGGGGACCUAAAUAAUACCUUA
rnacentral:lncRNA from 1 species